rnacentral:lncRNA from 1 species
GGUGAACUCACAUAGAUUCAGAAAGCAGGGAUUCAGGAACAAGGAAACAAGCCCUCCACUGCUGGGAGAGGCGUGGGGAAAACUGAAACAGGGGAACUCUCGGAAGAAAUGACAACCUGUUCCUCCUGCCUUUUGGGAUCUUGCGAUGUGGGCCCGGAUUUGCUUUAUAUCAUUUUCUUGUUGUUCCAUGUCACGUGGAAGAAUGCCUUGGAGGAGGCUGUCUGCAAACACUGGCAGUAUUCUUAGAGGAAGCUUGGGUUUGGGGCCUAGACACAUCCAGUCUCCAUGAAACGAUGAGAACAGCUGUCCUGAAAUGACAGAGCAAGAAACCUGCGCAGCAACAGCCUCAGAGAGGCCCCUUAAUAUACCUUCUCUACUAUGAAAAAUCAGAUUUUGUGAACAAUUUGGCAUGAGGAGAGAAAGGAACCUGAAGUUUUUAGCAAGGAAGCUUCCUGUCUCCAAGGGGAUUUUUUCCCACAGAAAUAUAUUGCUGAUUGGAUGUUGCCUCUCUAAUUUUGGAGACCAUAUGUUCUAGGUAUUCCGGGAAAAAUCUGCAUUUCAAAUCCUGGAUCCAUUGUUCCCAAAAGCCAUGUAAGAAUCCCAACAGAGAUAGGUCCCUCUCAUGGAUAUGUCCUAUGUCCCAGGGAUACCGCUCAAAGCAUUUUGUGGCUGAAGACAUUUAAUCUUUCAUAGAAACUCCUGAAGAAGAUGUUAUUGCUAUUAUAAUCAUAUGUAUUUGGAAAUGAAGACUUUGAAAGGUUCUAACUUAUUCAACAUUUCUCAACCAGCAUGUGGCAAAGUUCUGAAAGUCUGUUAUUCUAACCAACAUCCUACCUUGAGGAGCAAUGAUGUUCACCUGUCUGGUUGCCACAACUCACGUCCUUCUGUGGGCAGCAGAGUUCCAAGACGUUCCCCAAGAUCUCAUUUUCUGGAGGUGCAUGUCUCCCGUGACCCCCUCUUUGGAUUGCCCGCAGAGCCCGUGAAGAUGGUGUUAUCACUCCUGUGAUUACUUUACUGAUCAGGUGACUUUGAGUCAAUCAAAAGGUAGAUUAUCCAGGUGUGCCUGAUUUGAUCAGGUGGUCCCUUAAGGAGGCUUAAAAUGACCCUUUCUGAAGUAGAGUAAUUGGAAAAGUAAGAGGGUCUAUGGGUGGGGUCACCUGGCAAGGAACUGAACUCAGCCUCCAUGAGCUCUGGCCACCAGCUGACCUUUAGCAAGAAAGCAAAUCUUUCUUUGGUCAGUCUCCACAACAGGACGAAGCUGGCUGAGCCCUUGCCUUUGGCCCUGUGAGAUGCUGACCCGAGUAUCCAGCGAACACGUGCCAGAGUCCUGACCCAUGGAAACUGAGAUGAUGAGUCUGUGUUGCUUUAAGCCACUGUGUCUACAGUAAUUGGUUAGACAGCAAUAGAAAACUAAUAAACCUCCCUCUUUUUCAUUUACCAUCUUU